UAAAUAUUACGUUUAGAUGAAUUAGUGAGAGUAAUAUUAUGCCACUCAUCCUUUAUAUUGUUCAGUAGGAAGACUCAGUUACGGAAUAUUGGUUUUGUAAAGUUGCUCAUACGAAAUUAAUCUACACAUUUCAUAGUUCAUUGAUCCCCAACUAGGAUCCCAUAAGUAUAGAAAAUCACCCAAGACCUCCAAUCAUUAUAUGUCUAAACAGAAGAAAACGCAGUUCAUGCUCAUCUAUUAACAUAAAGUAUAUGAUUUUCAUGCUAUCAUCUUAAGACUAUGCAUGCUAUCUAAUAGACACUAACUAAUAAUUAAUGCAAGGUGCAUCGAUUGAUGCAAAGGCCGGGGGCUUUGUUCCUCCUUUAAAAAAAAUUAAUGCAAGGGAGAUUUGUGUGGUCAUAGCUUCAGGCACUAGUGCUAAGACUAGCUGAACCAUUUGACAGCAGAGAUUCAUUAUUCAAGUUUGUCCUGUGUAGUCGCAUAUCAUCACUAGUUCACCGUGGACAACCAUUGGAACUGAAGAUCUUACCAGAAAUAUGAAAUUUGAACCAAUUGGCAUUCAUACUUGCCUCUGCCUCUCGUUCAGCAAGAACGAAUGAACCCUCUAUUUAUAUUUCCGCAUCACAAUCCUGGUAUCCCCCAUUUGUGUGCACAUAAAUAUUUGAUUUCGAACAAAAUAAGGAACAUGCGAUAAAUCUUCUCUGCUACAUGUAUAGUUUAAUAAGGAACAUGCGAUAAAUCUUCUCUGCUACAAUUCCCGGAGUAAAGACUAUCAUCAAUCAACCCAUUCUAUAGG
rnacentral:lncRNA from 1 species